rnacentral:misc_RNA from 1 species
UAAUACGAAUCAGACACGUGAGGCGGUCAACGUUGAAAUAAGUCGAGAUGUGCAUCUUGGUUCAGGUCCUAUUAAAAACACUCCAUCGACUGGUAAUUCUAUCGAACGAAAGAGGCAAAGGGAUAGAGAAAGGCGUGCAACAAUGUCGGCUGAACAAAGGAAUGAGUACAAUAACAAGCGUCGUCAAAUGCGUCAACGAAAUAAGGGACAAAAUGUGAUGCCAGCUAUUUCAGGAGAUGGCGACAAAAAAGUAAAUGUGGAUCCAGAUGAUGAUAGCGACUGGCUGCAUCGGAACGAGACAUUCCAGUCAAAUGACUAUGUCGCAACGAUAGACCUUCUGCCACCAGGCAGUGUGCAUGAAUCUGUUGGUACCAUUGGGGAAUCGGGUAUCGGCGUGAGGGAGUAUAGGCUUGAACGCCUUAGGUUGUAUAAUCAGACACCAAAGCGGAAAGAGGCAAAGAUAGAGUACAUGAGAAAACGUAGAGUGCUACAGGCUGACACUUUGAAUGUUGUGUCCAUCGCCAUGGAAGACCCAACAUAUACCCCUGAGGUUGUGCACCCUGCAACGGAACCUUCAACAGUUACCGCCUGUGACUGGGUCAUCCCUGAAUUCGUUAGGACACCUUUCCUACCAGCUCAAACACAGACCGAGGAUGUCGGUUCAUUUGAUAUGUCUACUGAAGCAAUAAAACGUAAACAUCAUGUGCCGCGUGGGGAAAGACAAGCUAUCUUAGCCCGUCGAAACCAGCAAUUUCAAGCAUCCAUUGCACGGAACGUGACUACUUUGAAUGGGGAUACUAUCGGUGACGCCAACAACAAUGCACAAUGUAGCGUUCCAUGCCAAGCCGCUACCUUGCCAACAAAUGGAAGUGAAGGCAUAACCGAACAAGCAAGUGGGGUGGAGCAUACACAAGAGAAGCCAAGGGUCAUUUCCAAUGAUGAUGAUGAUGAGGCUGUCAUAUUCGGAGAAGAUGACGACGACGACGAGAGAUACAUAUUCGCUGGCCAAUAUGAGGAGACUGACGAGGACAUUAAAAUCGAUGGUACUCAAGAUGAAUCUACUGGCACUGAUGUGCCUGACCCGUACGACAAGAGUAUUCAGCUACUAUGGUGGUGUACUGAAGAUUACUUCUCUACUAAAAGCUGCUGUUGCUCAGCUCAAAAACUUGAACUGUUUGCUGGCUGCAGAAGACCAAUCUGCAGAUGAAGCAGUGAAAAAUUCUAGGGUGAUGCUAAAUAUACUUGUAUGCAUAAUCACCAUAAUUUCAAACUUCAUGAAGUUGGACAUAACUGUUGGAAGGAUUCCCCAUAUUACCGAUACCACAAAGCAUACCCCAUCAUGCAACUAUUUGGCUGCAGUCACGUCUAGCUCUCCUGAUAGAACCAUUUCUAAUACACUUCGACAUUGGCAGCAGAAAGCAAAUGUUCUUGUGAUGGAAGCCAGAUGUGUCAACUGGUUAGUAGAAAAUAAUAAACGGUGCCAAGGUCAGCAAUUGGAUAUGUCUUUAUUUUUGUGAAGAUUUAUCAAGGAAGAUAUUAAGGAGUUUUGCUUUAAGCUGGCCGAAAUUUCUCGUAUUACUAUAUUGGACUUUGCCAAUUUGAAGCCCCCAAUAUUCAUUGCACGUCCAGAU